rnacentral:sRNA from 1 species
UGUAUGUUAGAUCAUCUUUCGAGUAUAUGCACAGGAGAGGUAUAGCUGGGUUGACACACUUGAGAGCAUAGAAAAUGAAUUAUUCUUUAUCUCAGAUGUCUGUUGUUGCUCAGAGUCAGUGGUUGUAUGGUUAGGCCACAUUUCGAGGGGCAGGAUCUGCCCAAGCUCCAGGCUGCUACACAGGACCCUGCACAGUACCUUGACCUUGGUGCUGGCUGCCCUGCUGAUAGGUGUCCUGGCCAUGACCAUUUUGUGUUUGUGGCUCCCUGGCAGGCCUUCAGCCCCCCACUCUCCAGCACCCACACCCCAUGGGUAUUGCAAACUGCAGCAGCUGGGUCUGCAGGGACAUGGGUUAAGGUGUUCUUGGUAGUAGUUCAAGCCUCCCGGGAGCCAAAGGACAGACUCUACUCACAAGCUCCUUUGCCAGCUGACUGUGCACCCAUUCCUGUGGCAUCCACUGGGACUUUAGUCCUGCUUCUCUCUGCCACAGGUUCCAUUCCAUUUCACCAGUUUUUUUUUUAUCCUAAGUUUUUAUUUCUGUUUCUAUAUCUUGAAUAGUUUUGCCUAAAGCAAAUAUUAUCUUUCUCAUGCUGCUAAAGUAAUGCCUACCUGAUUAUCUUUGACAACAGAGAUUAUUUUUUUCUCCCUUCUGAAGGCUAGCAGCACAGUCAGGGUGUCAGCAGGUCCCGGCACUCUCAGGCUAUGAAGGAGAAUCUGUUCUUGGCUUUGUUCCUUCCUGGAAGCUGUUGGGCCAUCUUUGAUGUCUUUGCCGUCACCUUCACGUGUGUUCUCUUCAUGCAUACGUUUGUUUCUGUGUCCAUGCUUCCCGAUUUAUAAGCAUGCAAGUGAUAUUGGACCAGAAUUUACUCUAAUGACUUCAUUUGAUUUUGAUUACUUGUAAAAAUUUCAUUUUCAGAUAAGAGCACAUUCAGGAACUAGUGUUUAGGACACCAUCUGGGAAGAUAAACUGUAUGAAUAGCUAACGUUUCUGAAGAAGUAUAUCUGGAAGUUCUUUAAUAGUGGUUUUAUAUAUACGUGUGAAGUUUAUUAAAAUACUGGGAUAAUUAUGAGUGUAUGCCAAUCGAUGAGUCAUGUCUAAAUAUUUGUUUUUGAGACAGGACUUGUUUAGUCUUACAAAAAAUAUAUACAUACAUAGUUUAAUGAAAGAUUUUCUAUGUGGACUGACAAGAGCCAUAAACUAACCAAGGCCUUAGCGCCAGGUAUGAGAAUCUAUUUUUGAAUUCUUGGCUGCUGUUGUCCAAGAGACUUCCAAAACAUUUUGGGUUAUUUAUGUUGCUAUUGGUUACCCCAAAGGUGGACAUUGAUAAGUCCCAUGAAGACAUCAAGCACUUCAGACACAGGACCAGAGGAUUUGAACUAUAUGCAACCUGAAAGCCUCAUUCCUGAGGACCACCUUGCAUAAUAUGAGAAAGUGCCACAUGUACUUCCAAAGGAGAGAAGAAGCAACAGUCCUUCCUAGACCCAGCUGUACAUCCUGUGCACUGCAACAAUGACCAGAAUGGCAAGCGUGCCCUAUGGGUAUGGUACUGAUACACAUUCCUUGUUGGUGGCCAUGCGAUGGCAUCAUAGGUUGCUGCAGAUGGUUUCAAUGGUUCUGUUGGAUGUUCUUCAUCUGUGCCUGCAAGAGGCGCCCAAGGCUUUAUGUAUGGCCAUUGCUAUGACCUAGUGUGAUGCUCUACUUUCCCGCUGAACUUUACUUGCUAGAACUGAGGAGCUUGGCUAUAAUUUAGCCUUUUCUUUUUGUAUUUAGCUGUUGUUGAGGAAGGAGCUUUGGGAAUAGAAGUAACCAGGCAGCAGGUCCAUUUUCACUGUUGAAGGCAGCUGAAAACUCAUCCCUACUGAUGUCCCACAGAAGCAGCAAGAAGCCUUUCUCUCUAUGAAGUAAUGACAGAUGACGACCAGCAAAGAAUGGUAAGGCAUACCAACAGCAUGCAGUGUCACUAGCAAAGACCAGUAUCAGCAAAGCAAAGACCAGCAAAGCAUGGCACUUCCAGAAAAACACCACCAGUCUGUCACCUAUCUGCUUCAUUAAAAACAUCCAUCCAUAAGACAGUUUCCAGAAAAAUAUCACAUGACCCGACUGAAUCCCUAAAGAAACCAGAAAUUUCCACUUCAAUUAAGUUACUAAUAACUUUAGAAAACAGGAUGGAUAACUAUUAUAUAUUUAAAAAUUUCUUGGUAUAUCUUAUUCACAUGAGUAAUACUGGCACAUAAACAAUAAAUGUUUGAUAUCUUCUCAUGGCUAAUUUUUCAUUUACAUAGAAUAUCUCAAAAGUAUUAGUGAAGAUUUAAGCUAUAAUGACUGUUUUUGCUUGUUCUGUGUUUUGAGAUGGGAUCUCAUGUAACAUCAGCUGGCCUUGAACUUAUUAUGUAAUUGAGGAUAACCUUGAAUCUCUGAUCAACCUGGGAUGACUUCCCAAGUGCUGGAAUUAUAAAUACAUGUUACAAUGUCGAGCAGCCUAAAGAAACUUACAAUCCUUUGAUUUCUGCAAAUAGAGGAACAGACCAUCUCACCUGCUUUUGUUUCUAAAACAAAUAUUUCAAUAUUUGCCAUUUU